GCGGAGAUGGUGGAAUUGGCAGACACGCAGGUCUCAGAAGCCUGUGCCGCAAGGCAUGGGGGUUCAACUCCCCCUCUCCGCACCA
rnacentral:tRNA from 1 species